CCUACGGGGCGCAGCAGUGGGGGAUAUUGGACAAUGGGGGGAACCCUGAUCCAGCGACGCCGCGUGAGUGAAGAAGUAUCUCGGUAUGUAAAGCUCUAUCAGCAGGGAAGAAAGAAAUGACGGUACCUGAGUAAGAAGCCCCGGCUAACUACGUGCCAGCAGCCGCGGUAAUACGUAGGGGGCAAGCGUUAUCCGGAAUUACUGGGUGUAAAGGGAGCGUAGACGGUGAAGUAAGUCUGGAGUGAAAGGCGGGGGCCCAACCCCCGGACUGCUCUGGAAACUAUUUGACUGGAGUGCAGGAGAGG
rnacentral:rRNA from 1 species